GAGAAUAUGAUAUGUAGAAUGUGAUUGUUUUAAUUACAAUUCAUGAUUGCAUAUUAAUAAUUUUUAAUUAUAUUUAUUUAUUUUUAUGUAUAAAUAUAGAAUAAACUUCAAGAGAUGAGUGAGACACAUUAACAAGAUAUUUCUUUUGCAUUAGUCCCACUAGUGGAGCAUUUUGUACUUGUAUUAAGAAGGAGGUCUAGGCCACGCACAUAAUUUAGGAGCUAAAAGAAUCACAUCUAUUUUCAAAGAAAGGCAAAAUAUUCAUGCAGAGGUUGAGGCUACAUAGAAGCAUGCUGAUAUUUUGGAGGAUGAAGUCCAAAGGCUUACUGAGAUGAUAAAAAAGCAAAAGGAGACUAAUUCACAACUCCAAGUAGAAUUGCAAUCUCAACAUGCAAAACUUGAGGCUCAAUUUAAGACUAUCGAGGCAUAAUGUGUAGAAAUACAAAAAG
rnacentral:lncRNA from 1 species